UAUUUUACAAAGCCAGUCUUGACGCAUUUAGCCAGCCAGGCGUAGUGAAACUUCCGUAUUCGCUAGUUUUCUAUAAAGUGUGCACUUUAUUUUGGUAUUUCUAAAGACGUCCGUUUCGUAGCCAAUGAACAGAGAGGAGUUUUGUGUUGAGCAAGCGGUUAAAUUCACCCAUGAAUAACUCGAUGUGGGUGUAGCUAAUAAGUCUAAAGUGUGAAAGCAUUAGUUAUCUUAGUAACAGCUAGCUAAACUACUUCACGACGUCCUCGCAGCUCUUGCGAGGUCGAUUUUUGUUAAAGCUAGCGUCUACUUAAGGAGCAGUUCUACACCUGAAAACAACAACAGACGAUUUGUUUCGACGGGGAACAUUUCUUACCUCGCUCUGGCAUCCGGUGUACGACUCAUCUCUGCAGACUGACUCACCAUUUGCAGGUACCCAGAAGGAAAAUAAAAGGCCUUCAUUCAAGACAUACUUUUCAAGGUUUCCCAGAGACUAUGGGUUGAGGAGGAAGUGGAAGUUUGUCGGCUUAGACCUGUGUCAUUCCAUCAGUGUUAAACUUCCCGGCUCAUCUUGGAAGAGUACGUGCCAGAAAGACCAUGACCAAGCAGCCUUGAGAUCUUAGACAGCGUCUCCCUCAGUUCAAAGGUCCCUCUCUAUCUCCCCACACAUCCACCAACCACUGGAACACAUCUCCAAAGUUCUGCCGGGCCAGCUCAGCUUCCCCUCAGAAGAAGUUCCACCACCUGCCAGAUGAAGGAGCCUUUUGAGAGGCAGCUGGCAUCGUGAUUGGACUGUACUUUGGUCUGUUCCAAUCCAGCUUCAGCUCCAGAGACGGCAGGUGGAACGAGUCAACGGAGGCCUGGUGGACGAAGGCAUGCAGCUGAGUACAAUCCAGAAAACAACAGAGGAGGAGUGCAGGGCCAGAACAAACAGAGUAGCAUCGUAUGUCUCUUAGAAAACAUCAUAGUAUAGCCUUUGGUAUGAAAAAACGCCAUCAUUUACAUCGUAUAUUGUACAAAUAACAAGUCAAAGGAAAGAGACAUCAACUGUAGAAUUGUAGUAAUUGUGGGCUGACUGAUUUACUGAUUAUCAGUAUUUUAUUUUUUACUGAUUUACGGUAAUAAACACAUUUAAAAAUGGU